CUAAUGGUAAAGGUUGAGUUGGCUUAAAGAUCAAGUGCUGCACAGUUUUAUACGAGUGCUAAAAAUCCUGACACUAAGCACCCUAAUGCUCGGGUUCUUCCUGUUUCCUAUUCCCCCAUACAAUCCGUAUAAAUGCUGCUACGGUGGUUACCUGUGAUGAUGAUAACGCUUGCUACGCCUCUUUCAUGGCGGCAACUGCCUUCCUGCUUCUCCCGGACUCAAACAGACCUUAUACCCUUGAAAUUAAUCUCCGGUUACCCUAGAAUUGCUCAGCUUUCCUUCUGUUCUAGCUCGCAAAUUUCUUCCGAUAUUACAGAUUCAAUUCCCGAGCAGUCAUCAAAACGUGUUAGAUUAUAACUUUCUCCUGAUUUUGUUUUGGGCAUUUAGAGGUAUCUUACCUCUUCUACCAUCAACCCUGUGGCGUAUGGUUAUUAUUGCAGGAUCCUCUGAAACCUGGUCUAUAAUUAGUGGGAACUCCAAUAGGAAACCUUGAAGAUAUCACAUUGAGGUGCUUGCUCAAACUUCAUAAAUAAUUUUAUUGCUGGUUUUGAUCUUGUAAUUGCGGAAAUUUUUUACAUCUGCUCAUGUGAUACUUGCGGAAGAUAUAAGGCAUUCGGAGUGAGAUUGAUUGACCGUGUUAAAGAGUCUCAAAGAGAAUUGACUGUGUUAAAGAGGUUGAAACGGGGUGAGAUUGUAGGCCUGAUCAGUGAUGCAGGGAUGCUGGGCAUUAGUGAUCCAGUUGCAGAAUUUGUGAGCACAUUCUAUAUCUUAAUUACUUGGAUUUCUUUCCAAGCAUGCCAGAUCCAGGAGAGUCCGGCUGAUAGCCUCUGCAGAUGAGAAAGAACGCAAAUAUUCUAUGUUCCUCCUCGUAAACUUUAUCAAUUUCUCGAAGGGACGUCAUUACUCUUUGGUGACUCAAGGGGUGGUUGUGACAGUUCAUUUGAUUGGUCUUCAGACAGUGUGUCAUACCACGGGAGAUGAUCAAAAUACAUGAGGAGUUUUGGCGGGGUACUCUGGGAAAGGCAAAAGAAGUGUUUUCAGGUCACUAACCUAAGGGAGAGAUCACACUGUUGAUUAAAGGCAAGUUGAAUUAGUCGGUUGAAACUCCAUCAGAUAGUCAGCUUGAGAAUGAAUUGGGAGACCUGAUCUCCUGUGGGCACAGUCUUUCUAUGGCAGUCAAGUUGGUGUCUGAAAAAACAUCAGUGAGGAGGAAUACUAUAUAUUCGUCAGCAUUGACAAAAUUGGGGAAGCAACCUGAAGUGGAAGAUACUUGAAAAUAACCCAUAUCAUAUUGAGUGGAGUAAAAGUUCUUAUUGCUUUAGGUGUAAUGGUAAGGGAUGCAACUGUGGAGCAAAUGCAAACAAGAUGAGAUUAUCUUAGCUGAAGAGGAAGGAGAUGAGAAGAGAAAACGCAGUGCAAGUGCAGCCCCAGUUCGAUUUUGUGCAUUAAUACUGCCCAAGUUUUAAGAAUGAACUCCACUUUAGAGCAUCAUUAUGGACAGUGAUUAACCUCAAAAGGGAGAAGUUAUAUGGCAGUUAAAAGAGCGUUGUAGUAAUAACGAUUGUUGAUUCCUUGAGAUGGCAAAAUGAUAUUUGAAGUGUAAGCAAAUUACACGGCGAUUGAAGGAGCUUGUGAGCCAAUAGGGUUAAAAAACAGUGACCUCAGAAUUACCGCUGGAACCGGUACAUUAGAAGCUGCACCUUCAGAAUCAAGACGCCUCUGAACCCUCUCCGAACCCUCUUCUCUCUGGCACUGACCUAGGGGGGGUUGGUAGGUUAUCCUGCCCUUUUGAAAUUUUAAUCUUUAAAUGAGAAUAGAUUAAAUGAAUUUCUUUUUAAUAGACUAUAGAUUAAAUGAAUUUGUUUUUAAUAGAUUAUUACAUUGAAUCCCUUUAGGUUUGUAGUAAAAAUUUAAAAAUUAUUUUACAUUUUAAGUAUAUACUUUUGGCUCCCUCUAAAUAUAAAUGAAGUGUCAAUUAUUGUCUCUCCGUCCCAACUUUAGCCACUAAUACACAAACGCCCCCUCCCCUCUAUUUUUUUUUUUUUUGAAAACAAAGUUGCUCCUAAUGCAUUCUUAAAAUCUAAAUUAUUAUUUUUUGUUUCUUUAUAUUUAAAAAUAAAUCUGUUCAUUUGUUUUUAUCAAUUUAAUCAUUAAUAAUAGACAAAUAUUGAUGAGAUAUUAAAAUACUGAUAAUGAUAAAAUCUACUAAUAAAAUAACAUGUUUAUUAUAUCAAGUGUUGAAAUAUCAAAAUUUAUGUACUUUUAUAUUUUUUUAAAAUACAUAAACUCAAAGUGUUAGACAGAAGUAGAUUAUCCUAAAUUAUUAUUAAUAUUAGUGCUUCAAAGCAUCAAGUAAUUCGAAUUCCUAUUUUGGCAUUAUGUACAAGAAUUUCCUAAGUCAGUAUAUGCGAUUAUGUGGUGUAAUAUAAGUUUCAAAAAGAAAGAAAGAAAGAAAAAAGAAAAAAAAAAAAGAAGAAAAUCUGCGUGUGUCGUCGCUUAUCGCCACAGGGCCACGGUACUAAAAGAAGAAGAAGAAUAAGAUGAUGACGCAGCAACAAAGGACGGCGUGAAUAUACGUUGGCCAGUUGCUAAAAUGCGCCGGGGAUCAAAUUCCAUCUUGUUCUGGUAGAACUGGGACCACUUAUCCCCAAAGUGGUCCAUCCACUCUUCCUGAGUGGUGUAGUGAGGUACUCCAAUGUCUGGGUCUCCUCACCAUUGUCCAAAGCCGAUCUUAGAAACGCCACCAAAUAAAACACUUCCUCAACGGGUGUCACUACGGAGCUCCUUUGGUCCCACCUGCACAGGAUCACGAGGAUCAACGAAUGAGG